rnacentral:sRNA from 1 species
ACGAAAUAAUGACGAUAAUAACCCUAUCCCGACACAAUCUCUGACAUAAAAUCAAAGCAUUUAAUGCUCAAAAUCUCUAUAAAAAAAUUCAUGCAUCAGAAUAGUUAGCAGAUAACGUAUUAUCAGGAUAACAUGAUAACAAAUAUCUCGGUAAUAUUUAUUAGGUUAACAUGAUAACAAAUAUUUAUAUCAAUAAGUUUAUAAUUAUGUCAUGGUAAGUCAUUUUGUAUCGCGAUAAGUUAUAAUUGAUGUGAUAUAUAUAGAUAUUUACCAUCUUAACUCAUUUAUUAUAUCAUAAUAAAAAAUUAACGAGUUACUAUAACGUACAAAAUAUGAAUUUCAUCCAAUAACAUUAUUAUUAUCACUACCUCUAGAUAAAGUUUUAGUUAACUAGGUAAUUUAAUUGUUAACCAAUUUGAAUCUGAACAAAAACUACCAUUGCGUAAUCUUCAACCACCACAUCUCCGCCGUAUUCUUCUCACCCCAUCAUUUCAGAACCAUUUUUUUCCUCUACCGCAAACCCACACCCUAAUCGAUUUAGAACUAGAUCUUUAAACGAUUGAGAGAAACUGCCGGUAAUUCGCGAAACUUAUUUGGAUUUAUCGACCAGAACCACAGAGCUUUGAACGGAGACUGGAACUGAAUAUCGGAAAAAAGAAAAACAGAGUUAAGUUGAAUCGAAUCUAUAUGAGAGAUAUUAUGUCUCUCGUCUCUGACACACGUUACUGUGUAUCUUAUAUAUUACUUUAGACUGGAUAGACUGUGUAGGGGCUUAUAGGUCAUAUUUUGUGUACAAAAACCAUAUAAACAAUGUCGAAAAUAUGUCAGUUAAUUAACGGGUCUUCUUUGGUCAUCUUGUGUAAAAACCC